rnacentral:rRNA from 1 species
UGAACGCUGGCGGCGUGCUUAACACAUGCAAGUCGAGGGGCAGCGCGAGGUAGCAAUACUUUGGCGGCGACCGGCGCAAGGGUGCGUAACGCGUGAGCAACUUGCCCGCAACAGGAGGAUAACCGGAGGAAACUCCGACUAAUACUGCGUAGCAACGGAUUGUGGCAUCACAGACCGUUUAAAGGCGAAAGCUGGUUGCGGAUAGGCUCGCGUGACAUUAGCUAGAUGGCGGGUAACGGCCCACCAUGGCGACGAUGUCUAGGGGUUCUGAGAGGAAGGUCCCCCACACUGGUACUGAGACACGGACCAGACUCCUACGGGAGGCAGCAGUGAGGAAUAUUGGACAAUGGUCGGAAGACUGAUCCAGCCAUGCCGCGUGAAGGCUAAGGUCCUAUGGAUUGUAAACUUCUUUUGUACGAGAGGAAUAAGGUGGACGUGUCCACCGAGGACAGUAUCGUACGAAUAAGCAUCGGCUAACUCCGUGCC